AGGGACGAAGCCCUGGGUCGCAAACGGGAUUAGAUACCCCGGUAGUCCAGGGUGUAAACGCUGCAGACUUGGUGUUGGAGGCCCUUCGGGGGCAUUCAGUGCCGGAGAGAAGUUGUUAAGUCUGCUACUUGGGGAGUACGUCCGCAAGGAUGAAACUUAAAGGAAUUGGCGGGGGAGCACCGCAACGGGAGGAGCGUGCGGUUUAAUUGGAUUCAACACCGGAAAACUCACCAAGGGCGACCAUUACAUGAAAGCCAGGCUAAUGACCUUGCUAGAUUUUUGGAGAGGUGGUGCAUGGCCGUCGUCAGUUCGUACCGUAAGGCGUUCUCUUAAGUGAGAUAACGAACGAGACCCUCACUGAUAAUUGCUAAUCUAUUCUCCGGAGUAGAUGCACAUUAUUGGGACCGCUGACGCUAAGUCAGAGGAAGGAGAGGUCAACGGUAGGUCAGUAUGCCCCGAAUCUCUUGGGCUACACGCGCGCUACAAAGGGCGGGACAAUGGGCUCCGACGCCGAGAGGCGAAGGUAAUCUCGAAACCCGUCCAUAGUUCGGACUGAGGGUUGUAACUCACCCUCACGAAGCUGGAUUCCGUAGUAAUCGCGAAUCAACAACUCGCGGUGAAUAUGCCCCUGCUCCUUGCACACACCGCCCGUCAAACCAUCCGAGUUGGGUUUCAGUGAGGUGGCCUUUAAUUGGGGUCUUCAAACUGAGAUUUAGCAAGGAAGGUUAAGUCGUAACAAGGUAUCUGUA
rnacentral:rRNA from 1 species